rnacentral:rRNA from 1 species
GACGAACCGAGCAAACGUUAUUCGGAAUCACUGGGCUUAAAGGGCGCGUAGGCGGGCCAUCAAGUCUGUGGUGAAAUCCUCCAGCUCAACUGGAGAACGGCCGCGGAUACUGGUGGCCUCGAGGAAGGUAGGGGCAUCUGGAACUGGUGGUGGAGCGGUGAAAUGCGUUGAUAUCAUCAGGAACUCCGGUGGCGAAGGCGAGAUGCUGGACCUUUUCUGACGCUGAGGCGCGAAAGCCAGGGGAGCGAAC